rnacentral:rRNA from 1 species
CCUACGGGAGGCAGCAGUGGGGAAUAUUGCACAAUGGGGGAAACCCUGAUGCAGCGACGCCGCGUGAGCGAAGAAGUAUUUCGUUAUGUAAAGCUCUAUCAGCAGGGAAGAAAAUGACGGUACCUGAGUAAGAAGCCCCGGCUAACUACGUGCCAGCAGCCGCGGUAAUACGUAGGGGGCAAGCGUUAUCCGGAUUUACUGGGCGUAAAGGGAGCGUAGGCGGCAGGGCAAGUCUGAUGUGAAAUACGGGGGCUCAACCCCGGGACUGCAUUGGAAACUGUAAGGCUGGAGUGCAGGAGAGGUAGGUGGAAGUCCUAGUGUAGCGGUGAAAUGCGUAGAGAUUAGGAGGAACACCAGUGGCGAAGGCGACCUGCUGGACUGUAACUGACGUUGAGGCUCGAAAGCGUGGGGAGCAAACAGGAUUAGAUACCCGAGUAGUC